rnacentral:rRNA from 1 species
GACGAACGCUGGCGGCGUGCCUAAUACAUGCAAGUAGAACGCUGAAGAGAGGAGCUUUCUCUUCUUGGAUGAGUUGCGAACGGGUGAGUAACGCGUAGGUAACCUGCCUUGUAGAGGGGGAUAACUAUUUGAAACGAUAGCUAAUACCGCAUAACAAUGGAUCACACAUGUCAUUUAAUCGAAAGGGGCAAUUGUUCCACUACAAUAUGGACGUGCGUUGUAUUAGCUAGUAGGUGAGGUAAUGGCUCACCUAGGCGACGAUACAUAGCCGACCUGGGAGGGGGAUCUGCCACACUGGGACCUAGACACGGCCCAGACUCCUACGGGAGGCAGCAGUAGGGAAUCUUCGGCAAUGGGGGCAACCCUGACCGGGCAACGCCGCGUGAGUGAAGAAGGUUUUCGGAUCGUAAAGCUCUGUUGUAAGUCAAGAAAGGGUGUGAGAGUGGAAAGUUCACACUGUGACGGUAGCUUACCAGAAAGGGACGGCUAACUACGUG